GACAGAGGGUGCAAACGUUGUUCGGAAUUACUGGGCGUAAAGCGCGUGUAGGCGGCCAUCUAAGUCGGGCGUGAAAUCCCACGGCUCAACCGUGGAAGUGCACUCGAAACUGGAUGGCUAGAGUCCUGGAGAGGAAGGUGGAAUGCUUGGUGUAGAGGUGAAAUUCGUAGAUAUCAAGCGGAACACCGGUGGCGAAGGCGGCCUUCUGGACAGUGGACUGACGCUGAGACGGCGAAAGCGUGGGGAGCAAACAGG
rnacentral:rRNA from 1 species